rnacentral:rRNA from 1 species
GCUUAGGUACCGUAAAGCGUGCACGGUGAUCGUAGCUAGUGACCCGUGACCGGGUUUGUAUUGUUAAUCGGCGCUCCCACGUGGGUGACUGAGCUGCAAUGUGUGAUCCCCAGGGUAAAUGGUUCUAACACCAUAUCCGACUCCAUUUUGAAUGUUGUGGAGGACAAUUUUUGCGGCGUGGGAUGGGCCUGCGGCCUUUCCCUUGUUGGUGGGGUUAUGGCCUACCAUUCCGGCCACUGUGAUCCGGAUUGAGAGGCCGUCCGGAAACCUUGGGACUGAGAACCGGCCCCCACCCCUACCCCAGGCAGCAAUGGGGAAUAUUGCUUCAUGGGCUCAAGCCUGAUGCACCGACGCCACGUGGGGGAUGAAGGCCUUCGGGUUGUAAACUCCUUUCGCUAUCGACCAAGUCACUUGUGGUGACGGUAGGUCGAUAAGAAGCUCCGGCUAACUACGUGCCAUCAGCCGCGGUAAUACUUAGGGUGCAAGCGUUGUCCGGAAUUACUGGGCGUAACGAGCUCUUAUGUGGUUUGUCGCGUCGUCUGUGAAAUCCCGGGGCUUAACUUCUGGCUUGCAGGCGAUACGGGCAUAACUUGAGCGCUGUAGGGGAGACUGGAAUUCCUGGUGUAGCGGUGAAAUGCGCAGAUAUCAGGAGGAACACCGAUGGUGAAGGCAGGUCUCUGGGCAGUUACUGACGCUGAGGAUCGAAAGCAUGGGUAGCGAACAGGAUUAAAUACCCUGGUAGUCCAUGCCGUAAACUGGUGGGCGCUAGGUGUAGGGGGCUUCCACGUCUUCUGUGCCGUACUAACGCUUUAGCGCCCCGCCUGGGGGAGUUACGGCCGCAAGGCUAAAACUCAAAGGAAUUGACGGGGGCCCGCACAAACGGCGGAGCAUGUGGAUUUAAUUCUAAUGCAACCGCGAAGAACCUUACCUGGGCUUGACAUAUACCAGGAUCGGGCUAGAGAUAAGUCUUUCCCUUGGGGCUCGUAUACCAGGUGAGCAGGGUCGUCGUCAGCCUCGUGUCUGAUAUGUUGCGUUUAUUUCCCGCACCGAGCCGCACCUUUGUCCUUAGGUUGCCCAGCACGGUUAUGGGUGGGCUACCU